AUUGAACGCUGGCGGCAUGCUUUACACAUGCAAGUCGAACGGUAACAGGGAGCUUGCUCCGCUGACGAGUGGCGAACGGGUGAGUAAUGCAUCGGAACGUACCCAGUCGUGGGGGAUAACGUAGCGAAAGUUACGCUAAUACCGCAUACGUCCUGAGGGAGAAAGCGGGGGACCGUAAGGCCUCGCGCGAUUGGAGCGGCCGAUGUCGGAUUAGCUAGUUGGUAGGGUAAAGGCCUACCAAGGCGACGAUCCGUAGCGGGUCUGAGAGGAUGAUCCGCCACACUGGGACUGAGACACGGCCCAGACUCCUACGGGAGGCAGCAGUGGGGAAUUUUGGACAAUGGGCGAAAGCCUGAUCCAGCCAUGCCGCGUGAGUGAAGAAGGCCUUCGGGUUGUAAAGCUCUUUCAGGUGGAAGAAACUUACCGGGUGAAUACCCGGAGGCUGACGGUACCAUCAGAAGAAGCACCGGCUAACUACGUGCCAGCAGCCGCGGUAAU
rnacentral:rRNA from 1 species